AGCGAACGCUGGCGGCAGGCCUAACACAUGCAAGUCGAACGAACCUUUCGGGGUUAGUGGCGGACGGGUGAGUAACACGUGGGAACGUGCCUUUAGGUUCGGAAUAACUCAGGGAAACUUGUGCUAAUACCGAAUGUGCCCUUCGGGGGAAAGAUUUAUCGCCUUUAGAGCGGCCCGCGUCUGAUUAGCUAGUUGGUUGAGGUAAUGGCUCACCAAGGCGACGAUCAGUAGCUGGUCUGAGAGGAUGAUCAGCCACAUUGGGACUGAGACACGGCCCAAACUCCUACGGGAGGCAGCAGUGGGGAAUCUUGCGAAAUGGGCGAAAGCCUGACGCAGCCAGGCCGCGUGAAUGAUGAAGGUCUGAGGAUUGUAAAAUUCUUUCACCGGGGACGAUAAUGACGGUACCCGGAGAAGAAGCCCCGGCUAACUUCGUG
rnacentral:rRNA from 1 species